rnacentral:rRNA from 1 species
AGGGAAUAGAUACCCGGGUAGUCCUAGCCGUAAACGAUACUCGCUAGGUGUCGGCCACGGUGCGACCGUGGUCGGUGCCGUAGGGAAAGCCGUGAAGCGAGCCACCUGGGAAGUACGGCCGCAAGGCUGAAACUUAAAGGAAUUGGCGGGGGAGCACUACAACGGGUGGAGCUUGCGGUUUAAUUGGAUUCAACGCCGGAAAUCUCACCGGGACCGACAGCAAUAUGAAGGCCAGGCUGAAGACCUUGCCCGAUUAGCUGAGAGGUGGUGCAUGGCCGUCGUCAGUUCGUACUGUGAAAGCAUCCUGUUAAGUCAGGCAACGAGCGAGACCCACGCCCACAGUUGCCAGCGUACUCUCAGGAGUGACGGGUACACUGUGGGGACCGCCGCUGCUAAAGCGGAGGAAGGAAUGGGCAACGGUAGGUCAGUAUGCCCCGAAUAUCCCGGGCUACACGCGAGCUACAAUGGCUGGUACAAUGGGUAUCUA